AUUGAACGCUGGCGGCAUGCUUUACACAUGCAAGUCGAACGGGCUUGGGGGCUUGCUCCCAAGUUAGUGGCGAACGGGUGAGUAAUACAUCGGAACGUACCGUGUAGUGGGGGAUAACGUAGCGAAAGUUACGCUAAUACCGCAUACAAUCUACGGAUGAAAGCAGGGGACCUUCGGGCCUUGUGCUAUACGAGCGGCCGAUGUCUGAUUAGCUAGUUGGUGAGGUAAAGGCUCACCAAGGCGACGAUCAGUAGCGGGUCUGAGAGGAUGAUCCGCCACACUGGGACUGAGACACGGCCCAGACUCCUACGGGAGGCAGCAGUGGGGAAUUUUGGACAAUGGGCGAAAGCCUGAUCCAGCCAUGCCGCGUGUCUGAAGAAGGCU
rnacentral:rRNA from 1 species